rnacentral:rRNA from 1 species
GAUGAACGCUGGCGGCGUGCCUAAUACAUGCAAGUCGAGCGAACAGACGAGGAGCUUGCUCCUCUGACGUUAGCGGCGGACGGGUGAGUAACACGUGGAUAACCUACCUAUAAGACUGGGAUAACUUCGGGAAACCGGAGCUAAUACCGGAUAAUAUAUUGAACCGCAUGGUUCAAUAGUGAAAGACGGUUUUGCUGUCACUUAUAGAUGGAUCCGCGCCGCAUUAGCUAGUUGGUAAGGUAACGGCUUACCAAGGCAACGAUGCGUAGCCGACCUGAGAGGGUGAUCGGCCACACUGGAACUGAGACACGGUCCAGACUCCUACGGGAGGCAGCAGUAGGGAAUCUUCCGCAAUGGGCGAAAGCUUGACGGAGCAACGCCGCGUGAGUGAUGAAGGUCUUCGGAUCGUAAAACUCUGUUAUUAGGGAAGAACAAAUGUGUAGGUAACUAUGCACGUCUUGACGGUACCUAAUCAGAAAGCCACGGCUAACUACGUG